rnacentral:rRNA from 1 species
GACGAACGCUGGCGGCGUGCUUAACACAUGCAAGUCGAACGGAAAGGCCCUGCUUUUGUGGGGUGCUCGAGUGGCGAACGGGUGAGUAACACGUGAGUAACCUGCCCUUGACUUUGGGAUAACUUCAGGAAACUGGGGCUAAUACCGGAUAGGAGCUCCUGCUGCAUGGUGGGGGUUGGAAAGUUUCGGCGGUUGGGGAUGGACUCGCGGCUUAUCAGCUUGUUGGUGGGGUAGUGGCUUACCAAGGCUUUGACGGGUAGCCGGCCUGAGAGGGUGACCGGCCACAUUGGGCCUGAGAUACGGCCCAGACUCCAACGGGAGGCAGCAGUCGGGAAUAUUGCACAAUGGGCGGAAGCCUGAUGCAGCAACGCCGCGUGCGGGAUGACGGCCUUCGGGUUGUAAACCGCUUUCGCCUGUGACGAAGCGUGAGUGACGGUAAUGGGUAAAGAAGCACCGGCUAACUACGUG